rnacentral:rRNA from 1 species
GUUAGGAAUAUUGGACAAUGGGCGAAAGCCUGAUCCAGCCAUGCCGCGUGAACGAUGAAGGCCUUCGGGUUGUAAAGUUCUUUAGCCGAUGAUUAUAAUGACUGUAGUCGGAAAAUAAGCCCCGGCUAACUUCGUGCCAGCAGCCGCGGUAAUACGAAGGGGGCGAGCGUUAUUCGGAAUCACUGGGCGUAAAGCGUGCGUAGGCGGUUUUGUAAGUUAGGAGUGAAAGCCCAGGGCUCAACCUUGGAAUUGCUCUUAAAACUGCAAGGCUCGAAUCUCGGAGAGGAUAGCGGAAUUUCCAGUGUAGCAGUGAAAUGCGUAGAUAUUGGAAGGAACACCAGUGGCGUAAGCGGCUAUCUGGACGAGUAUUGACGCUGAGACACGAAAGCGUGGGGAGCAAACAGGAUUAGAAACCCUUGUAGUCC